rnacentral:rRNA from 1 species
CCAGACUCCUACGGGAGGCAGCAGUGGGGAAUAUUGGGCAAUGGACGCAAGUCUGACCCAGCAACGCCGCGUGAAGGAAGAAGGCUUUCGGGUUGUAAACUUCUUUUAAGGGGGAAGAGUAGAAGACGGUACCCCUUGAAUAAGCCACGGCUAACUACGUGCCAGCAGCCGCGGUAAUACGUAGGUGGCAAGCGUUGUCCGGAUUUACUGGGUGUAAAGGGCGUGUAGCCGGGAAGGCAAGUCAGAUGUGAAAUCUGGAGGCUCAACCUCCAAAUUGCAUUUGAAACUGUUUUUCUUGAGUACUGGAGAGGCAGACGGAAUUCCUUGUGUAGCGGUGAAAUGCGUAGAUAUAAGGAGGAACACCAGUGGCGAAGGCGGUCUGCUGGACAGCAACUGACGGUGAGGCGCGAAAGCGUGGGGAGCAAACAGGAUUAGAUACCCCUGUAACG